rnacentral:rRNA from 1 species
AGUGAACGCUGGCGGUAGGCCUAACACAUGCAAGUCGAACGGCGGCACAGUAAGAGCUUGCUCUUACGGGUGGCGAGUGGCGGACGGGUGAGGAAUACAUCGGAAUCUACUUUUUCGUGGGGGAUAACGUAGGGAAACUUACGCUAAUACCGCAUACGACCUACGGGUGAAAGCAGGGGAUCUUCGGACCUUGCGCGAUUGAAUGAGCCGAUGUCGGAUUAGCUAGUUGGCGGGGUAAAGGCCCACCAAGGCGACGAUCCGUAGCUGGUCUGAGAGGAUGAUCAGCAACACUGAAACUGAGACACGGCCAGGCCCCCUACGGGAGGCAGAAGUGGGGAAUAUUGAACAAUGGGCGCAAGCCUGAUCCAGCCAUACCGCGUGGGUGAAGAAGGCCUUCGGGUUGUAAAGCCCUUUUGUUGGGAAAGAAAAGCAGCAGGUUAAUACCCCGCUGUUCUGACGGUACCAAAAGAAUAAGCACCGGCUAACUUCGU